rnacentral:lncRNA from 1 species
ACUUGGACAUUUCCAUCAAUCCAAUACUUUGCAAAACUUGGGAGGUGACAAAAAAAAUAGUUUGGCAGAAUCUGGCAGAACUCAGCUAAUCAGGCUGGUAAAUGAACCUGGAGAGCUAAAUUUUAUUUGCACCAGGUCAAACAGUUGGUUAGAAUCCAGGAGAUCCGUGAAUAUGCCACAACAUGGAAAAGCAAUGUAAUAGCUAGAUAGGAGGAUUUGAAA